AUACUUACCUGGUGGAGGAAAUGCAAUGACCAGUUGGGUGCUUCAUCUAGGGUGUGGUUCAACUAUUGCACUCCAGCUGUGUUGAUUUCUGCAAAUAUUCCAAAUGUGGGAGUCUCGACUGCAUAAUUUCUGCACUGUAAAAUCCAAUUAGUUGACCUUACUU